AAAAAACAAAUAAAAGUUCAAACACAUAUUUUACAAUUAAAGCCUAAUAUUUGCCACUAUAAAUAGAGCAACCAACCACCAGAGGCGACUCAAGGCUUUUGUGGCUUCCUAACUACAUUACCUGAAUCUGCAUUUUCUUUCAGCUUCUCUUCUCAAAGGUAAUUUCAUUUUCCAUAUUACUUUUCUUCUUAAAUUUUCUCACGAUUUUGUUAAUUUCUUUUCUGAAAACGAUGGAGAAAAAUAUGAGCAUCUCUCCUGUUUGAACGUUUAACAGGUGAAAUGAGUU
rnacentral:lncRNA from 1 species